CCUACGGGGGGCUGCAGUGGGGAAUAUUGGACAAUGGGGGCAACCCUGAUCCAGCCAUGCCGCGUGUGUGAAGAAGGCCCUCGGGUUGUAAAGCACUUUCAGUGAGGAAGAACGCCUGGUGGUUAAUACCCAUCAGGAAAGACAUCACUCACAGAAGAAGCACCGGCUAACUCCGUGCCGGCAGCCGCGGUAAUACGGAGGGUGCGAGCGUUAAUCGGAAUUACUGGGCGUAAAGCGCGCGUAGGUGGCUUGAUAAGCCGGUUGUGAAAGCCCCGGGCUCAACCUGGGAACGGCAUCCGGAACUGUCAAGCUAGAGUGCAGGAGAGGAAGGUAGAAUUCCCGGUGUAGCGGUGAAAUGCGUAGAGAUCGGGAGGAAUACCAGUGGCGAAGGCGGCCUUCUGGACUGACACUGACACUGAGGUGUGAAAGCGUGGGUAGCAAACAGGAUUAGAUACCCCUGUAGUC
rnacentral:rRNA from 1 species